CGGGGGUAGAGCACUGUUUCGGCUAGGGGGCCAUCCCGGCUUACCAACCCGAUGCAAACUGCGAAUACCGGAGAAUGUUAUCACGGGAGACACACGGCGGGUGCUAACGUCCGUCGUGAAGAGGGAAACAACCCAGACCGCCAGCUAAGGUCCCAAAGUCAUGGUUAAGUGGGAAACGAUGUGGGAAGGCCCAGACAGCCAGGAUGUUGGCUUAGAAGCAGCCAUCAUUUAAAGAAAGCGUAAUAGCUCACUGGUCGAGUCGGCCUGCGCGGAAGAUGUAACGGGGCUAAACCAUGCACCGAAGCUGCGGCAGCGACACUGUGUGUUGUUGGGUA
rnacentral:rRNA from 1 species